UGGGGAAUAUUGCACAAUGGGCGCAAGCCUGAUGCAGCCAUGCCGCGUGUAUGAAGAAGGCCUUCGGGUUGUAAAGUACUUUCAGCGGGGAGGAAGGGAGUAAAGUUAAUACCUUUGCUCAUUGACGUUACCCGCAGAAGAAGCACCGGCUAACUCCGUGCCAGCAGCCGCGGUAAUACGGAGGGUGCAAGCGUUAAUCGGAAUUACUGGGCGUAAAGCGCACGCAGGCGGUUUGUUAAGUCAGAUGUGAAAUCCCCGGGCUCAACCUGGGAACUGCAUCUGAUACUGGCAAGCUUGAGUCUCGUAGAGGGGGGUAGAAUUCCAGGUGUAGCGGUGAAAUGCGUAGAGAUCUGGAGGAAUACCGGUGGCGAAGGCAGGUCACUGGGCCAUUACUGACGCUGAGGAGCGAAAGCAUGGGUAGCGAACAGG
rnacentral:rRNA from 1 species